rnacentral:misc_RNA from 1 species
GAUGAAGAACGCAGCGAAAUGCGAUAAGUAAUGUGAAUUGCAGAAUUCAGUGAAUCAUCGAAUCCUUGAACGCACCUUGCGCUCCUUGGUAUUCCGAGGAGCAAGCCUGUUUGAGUGUCAUGAAAUUCUCAACCUUUUCAGCUUUCUUUGUUGAUCAGGCUUGGAUGUGGGAGUAUGCGGGCUUCUCAGAAGUCGGCUCUCCUGAAAUGCAUUAGCGGGACCUUUGUUGCCUGGCUUUGGUGUGAUAAUUAUCUACGCCAUUGUAGUCAAGCAGCUUAAAAUGAGGUUUCAGCUUCUAACCGUCUCCCCUGAGACAACUUUUUGACAAUUUGACCUCAAAUCAGGUAGGACUACCCGCUGAACUUAAGCAUAUCAAUAAGCGGAGGA